GAUGAACGCUGGCGGCGUGCCUAAUACAUGCAAGUCGAGCGAACGGACGAGAAGCUUGCUUCUCUGAUGUUAGCGGCGGACGGGUGAGUAACACGUGGAUAACCUACCUAUAAGACUGGGAUAACUUCGGGAAACCGGAGCUAAUACCGGAUGAUAUUUUGAACCGCAUGGUUCAAAAGUGAAAGACGGUCUUGCUGUCACUUAUAGAUGGAUCCGCGCUGCAUUAGCUAGUUGGUAAGGUAACGGCUUACCAAGGCAACGAUGCAUAGCCGACCUGAGAGGGUGAUCGGCCACACUGUAACUGAGACACGUUCCAGACUCCUACGGUAGGCAGCAGUAGGGAAUCUUCCGCAAUGGGCGAAUGCCUGACGUAGCAACGCCGCGUGAGUGAUGAAGGUCUUCGGAUCGUAAAACUCUGUUAUUAGGGAAGAACAUAUGUGUAAGUAACUGUGCACAUCUUGACGGUACCUAAUCAGAAAGCCACGGCUAACUACGUG
rnacentral:rRNA from 1 species